rnacentral:rRNA from 1 species
UACGUAGGGUGCAAGCGUUAAUCGGAAUUACUGGGCGUAAAGGGCGCGUAGGCGGCCUGUUAAGUCGAACGUGAAAUCCCCCGGGCUCAACCCGGGAACUGCGUCCGAUACUGGCAGGCUUGAAUCCGGGAGAGGGAUGCGGAAUUCCAGGUGUAGCGGUGAAAUGCGUAGAUAUCUGGAGGAACACCGGUGGCGAAGGCGGCAUCCUGGACCGGCAUUGACGCUGAGGCGCGAAAGCCAGGGGAGCAAAGCGGG